UCCCUGCACUGAUCUUGCUACCUGAGAGCGCCUUCAGUUUUCCCGGUCCCCCAGGCGCCCUCCGGACGAGCACAGGUUAUUAAAGCCCGGCUCCUUUUCCCCUGCCCUCCAGGUACAGCCAUGGCUCACACUCGGGAACGCCCCGGCCCGGAGACUCCCAGCUCCGGGCUAGAAACUCCCCUUUACAGAGCCUGGAGGCCGGUGAUCUCCGGGUGGGAGAAACGAAAGCGGUCCGUCUCUGAGUAAGAGGGUGAUGUAACCCCCCGAGGUGGGUGAGGCGCCCAGAAUCCGCACCAUGGAAGACCCCGGGCACCCUAAGGGCACGCCCCACGCGGAAGUCUGGGCUGGCUCACCCCAGAUUCACCACCCAGCCCGGCUGGCCACCUUCCUGUCGGAUUCACUUCCCAAGGGAGCGGUGAAGGGUGGGUGACCUCGGGGAAUUUACACAACCUCUCCACGCCUUCUUCGUUCAUAUUACACACAUUUGUUGAGUGUUUAUUUUGGGCCAGGCCUUGAGCUGAGCUCAGGGGAUACGCUGUUUACAAAGCAGACAUGGAAAUUACAGUGAACUCAUCUGUAAAAUGGGCGGAGGGAUGGACUAUGGAGAAUUUCAUGCAGCAUAACACAGGCUUUAGCGAUUCGCAUCAAAUAUUUAUUUAUGAAAGAGCACAAAUCAUGAAUAUACAGCUGAUGCAUUUUCACAAACUGUGUAUUGAGUAUCCAGAUCAAGACACAGGACAUUACCCGUCCCCAGAAGUCUCCUAGUUCCUCUUCCAGUUACUGCCAACCCCCACCAAGAGUAACCGUCAUCUUGACUUCUAACUCCCUAAAAGGGUUUUGCCAGUCUUUGUGCCAUAUAUAAAUGCAGUCGGAUGAUGUGUACUA